rnacentral:rRNA from 1 species
CUUUAUUGGAGAGUUUGAUCCUGGCUCAGGAUGAACGCUGGCGGCGUGCCUAAUACAUGCAAGUCGAGCGAAUGGAUUAAGAGCUUGCUCUUAUGAAGUUAGCGGCGGACGGGUGAGUAACACGUGGGUAACCUGCCCAUAAGACUGGGAUAACUCCGGGAAACCGGGGCUAAUACCGGAUAACAUUUUGCGCUGCAUGGCGCGAAAUUGAAAGGCGGCUUCGGCUGUCACUUAUGGAUGGACCC